AAGCAGGAUGUGAANUCCCCGGGCUCAACCUGGGAACUGCGUUCUGAACUGGGUGACUAGAGUGUGUCAGAGGGAGGUAGAAUUCCACGUGUAGCAGUGAAAUGCGUAGAGAUGUGGAGGAAUACCGAUGGCGAAGGCAGCCUCCUGGGAUAACACUGACGUUCAUGCCCGAAAGCGUGGGUAGCAAACAGGAUUAGAUACCCUGGUAGUCCACGCCCUAAACGAUGUCGAUUAGCUGUUGGGCAGCAUGACUGCUUAGUAGCGAAGCUAACGCGUGAAAUCGACCGCCUGGGGAGUACGGUCGCAAGAUUAAAACUCAAAGGAAUUGACGGGGACCCGCACAAGCGGUGGAUGAUGUGGAUUAAUUCGAUGCAACGCGAAGAACCUUACCUGGUCUUGACAUGUACGGAACCCUCCAGAGACGGAGGGGUGCCUUCGGGAGCCGUAACACAGGUGCUGCAUGGCUGUCGUCAGCUCGUGUCGUGAGAUGUUGGGUUAAGUCCCGCAACGAGCGCAACCCUUGUCAUUAGUUGCCAUCAUUAAGUUGGGCACUCUAAUGAGACUGCCGGUGACAAGCCGGAGGAAGGUGGGGAUGACGUCAAGUCCUCAUGGCCCUUAUGACCAGGGCUUCACACGUCAUACAAUGGUCGGUACAGAGGGUAGCCAAGCCGCGAGGUGGAGCCAAUCUCACAAAACCGAUCGUAGUCCGGAUUGCACUCUGCAACUCGAGUGCAUGAAGUCGGAAUCGCU
rnacentral:rRNA from 1 species